AAAAACACCUAGGCGGCUGCCUUACACAUGCAAGUCGACGGUAACAGGUCUUCGGAUGCUGACGAGUGGCGAACGGGUGAGUAAUACAUCGGAACGUGCCCGAUCGUGGGGGAUAACGGAGCGAAAGCUUUGCUAAUACCGCAUACGAUCUACGGAUGAAAGCAGGGGACCGCAAGGCCUUGCGCGGACGGAGCGGCCGAUGGCAGAUUAGGUAGUUGGUGGGAUAAAAGCUUACCAAGCCGACGAUCUGUAGCUGGUCUGAGAGGACGACCAGCCACACUGGGACUGAGACACGGCCCAGACUCCUACGGGAGGCAGCAGUGGGGAAUUUUGGACAAUGGGCGAAAGCCUGAUCCAGCCAUGCCGCGUGCAGGAUGAAGGCCUUCGGGUUGUAAACUGCUUUUGUACGGAACGAAAAGACUCCUUCUAAUAUACGGGGU
rnacentral:rRNA from 1 species